GGAGGAGGAGGAGGAGGAGGAGGAGGCGGCGGCUCCGACAGUGAGGAUGACCCUCUUGAUGCUUUUAUGGCUGAGGUGGAGGACCAAGCAGAAAAAGACAUGAGGAAACUUGAAGAAAAGGAAAAAGAGAAAAAGUUAGCCAAGGGUAUACGGGAUGACAUUGAAGAGGAGGAUGACCAAGAAGCAUAUUUUCGUUACAUGGCGGAAAACCCAACAGC